rnacentral:rRNA from 1 species
GAAUUCAACUCCUACGGGAGGCAGCAGUAAGGAAUAUUGGUCAAUGGACGCAAGUCUGAACCAGCCAUGCCGCGUGAAGGAUGAAGGUCCUCUGGAUUGUAAACUUCUUUUAUAGGGGGCGAAAAAAGGUCUUUCUAGAUCACUUGACAGUACCCUAUGAAUAAGCACCGGCUAACUCCGUGCCAGCAGCCGCGGUAAUACGGAGGGUGCAAGCGUUAUCCGGAUUCACUGGGUUUAAAGGGUGCGUAGGCGGGUAGGUAAGUCAGAGGUGAAAUCCUGGAGCUUAACUCCAGAACUGCCUUUGAUACUAUCUAUCUUGAAUAUGGUGGAGGUAAGCGGGAUAUGUCAUGUAGCGGUGAAAUGCAUAGAUAUGACAUAGAACACCUAUUGCGAAGGCAGCUUACUAUGCCUAUAUUGACGCUGAGGCACGAAAGCGUGGGGAUCAAACAGGAUUAGAAACCCUAGUAGUCCAGGCGUU